CGUUGAUAAGACAUAGUACUAUGAAUGCAAACUAGAGAUUUGUAUUCAUAGCACUAUGGCUUACCAACG